GGAGAGGACCGGGCGAUCGCCGGUUCGCCACUAGGCGAGCGGGAGGAAAGUCCGGGCACCGUAGGACAGGGUGGUGGAUAACGUCCACCGGCCGUGAGGUCAGGGAUAGUGCCACAGAAAAUAAACCGCCGAUGGGAGCUGUUAGCUUUUAGCCGUUAGCAUUUAGCAGCUAAUUGCUAAAAGCUAACAGCUUCACAGGCAAGGGUGAAAAGGUGCGGUAAGAGCGCACCAGCAGUCGGGGUGACCCGGCUGGCUUGGUAAACCCCACCCGGUGCAAGAUCAAGCAGGGAGCAUGAGUCGGUCCGACUCGUUACGACUCUCGGGUAGAUCGCUGGAGGCGUACGGGCAACCGUCGCCCUAGAAGAAUGAUCGCCGGCCGGCGCGCAAGCGCCGCCACAGAACCCGGCUUACAGGUCCUCUCCGGGA
rnacentral:RNase_P_RNA from 1 species